UACGGGGGAUACGAGCGUUAUCCAAAAUAACUGGGCGUAAAGUGUAUGUAGGUGGAUUAGUAUGUUCUUACUUAAAGACUAUUUGGUAAAUUUAGGAAAAGAAAGAAAACUAUUAAUCUUGAGUUCGAUAGGGGUAAGAGGAAUUUUUUGAGAAGUAGUGAAAUGCGAAGAUACAAAAAAGAAGAUCAACAGCGAAAGCAUCUUACUGGGUCGAUACUGACACUGAGAUACGAAAGUUAAGGUAGCAAAUG
rnacentral:rRNA from 1 species